GAUGAAGAACGUAGCGAAAUGCGAUAAGUAAUGUGAAUUGCAGAAUUCAGUGAAUCAUCGAAUCUUUGAACGCACCUUGCGCCCUUUGGCCAUUCCGAAGGGCAUGCCUGUUUGAGUAUCAUGAACACCUCAACUCUCAUGGCUCGCCAUGAUGAGCUUGGACUUUGGGGGUCUUGCUGGCCUGUGGUCGGCUCCUCUCAAAUGGAUCAGCUUGCCAGUGUUUGGUGGCAUCACAGGUGUGAUAACUAUCUGCGCUUGUGGUUUUCCAUCAGAUAACCUUCAGUGAUGGAGGUUCGCUGGAGCUCAUAAACGUCUCCCCUAAGCGGGGACAGCCCUUUGAAUGUUUGAUCUCAAAUCAGGUAGGACUACCCGCCGAACUUAAGCAUAUCAAUAAGCGGAGGA
rnacentral:misc_RNA from 1 species